GACGAACGCUGGCGGCGUGCUUAACACAUGCAAGUCGAACGGAAAGGCCCUGCUUUUGUGGGGUGCUCGAGUGGCGAACGGGUGAGUAACACGUGAGUAACCUGCCCUUGACUUUGGGGUAACUUCAGGAAACUGGGGCUAAUACCGGAUAGGAGCUCCUGCUGCAUGGUGGGGGUUGGAAAGUUUCGGCGGUUGGGGAUGGACUCGCGGCUUAUCAGCUUGUUGGUGGGGUAGUGGCUUACCAAGGCUUGACGGGUAGCCGGCCUGAGAGGGUGACCGGCCACAUUGGGACUGAGAUACGGCCCAGACUCCUACGGGAGGCAGCAGUGGGGAAUAUUGCACAAUGGGCGGAAGCCUGAUGCAGCAACGCCGCGUGCGGGAUGACGGCCUUCGGGUUGUAAACCGCUUUCGCCUGUGACGAAGCGUGAGUGACGGUAAUGGGUAAAGAAGCACCGGCUAACUACGUG
rnacentral:rRNA from 1 species